GUGGAGGGCGGCUGUCAAAUGGGAGUAAAAUUGGAAAGCCGCCAACCUAAGUCCAGAACCAGUUUUAAGGCUUUACGCGGAAAAGUGAAAAUCAUUAUUCGCAAAAUUACAGAACCAGCGACACGUUGGGGUAGCAAUAAACAGCCGCGAUUACCUCCCUUGCAUCCCACCGCAAAAUCGCUAGUGUUUGGAGGGGAUUUUGUUGGAGUAGGCCGAUCCACUGAAAACCAAUCAAGGAGGCUUGGAACCGAAGGUGUCAAACAGGAGUUAAUUUUUAUUAUUCUCAAAUAAACCGUUAUUAAAGCAAGA